CAAUUGUACACUCAAAUACCCAAAGCAGAUUGGUUAACAUGCAACCUUUGUUUAAUUACUGAUCAAGUAAAGUUUUGACUUAUAACCUGUGACUUUCCUUCCUUUGGUUUGCAUGUUCCAUACAUAUUCAAAGAAACUCAUGGUGAUGAAAGUACUCAACAAUAGACAAAGUAUGGCAUAAAGCCAUUAAAAUACUGGGAAAAUAUAAUCUCCAGCAUUAACAUCAGACAACUGGCAGUUCAAAAAACAAUGCGGAUGAUGAACAAAGCAUUACUUAUAAACCGAUGUAAUGCGAGUAAGGACAGAUCCACUGACACCAUCAGGACAACACAUUUCUAACCCUUGCGCCAGGAAGAAACCUGACAGUUGAAGACUGACAAGGCUCCAUGCAAGUGGCAGAGCUAUCUACUGGAAGAAAUGUGAAGCCUGGAUUAUAUUCUUCAAUCUUCCAUUUUGCAAAAAGGGGGCAACAAUGACACAUAUAGCCUAUUUUAUAUGUGAGCAUGUUAGAAGAAUUAAUCUAGAAUGUCUUGAAAAUAUGUUAAAGCCCUCUGAUACUAGAAUUCCAUGAAAAUAAAGUGUUGUUCAUAUAA